GGCUCCCGGAGGAAGUCACUCAUUCUGCGGUUCAGUCGGUUUGCCCAAUGAUUUCACGUUUCAAUCUACAGUUUGCUAACCUCUCCUUUGGAAAUGCUGAUGAAGAUCUCGAGAGGUUCAGCUGAAGGUUUCUGAAUUGCAGCCCCUGCAGGUCUGUCUCCCUGGUUUGAAAACAUAGCCCUGAAUGUAGGUCUUUAUGUGGUCCUUUUGAUGUGUGCUGGUGACCUGUGAGCCUCACCUCUUGCAAAUGAAGGGGUCUCUGCACCUGUGUGCCUGGCAGAAGCACUAGACCUUGCAAAUGCAGCUGUUUUAACCAAGCAUUGGUUCAGUGGUGUAACUUUGCAGGCAGGAUCCUCAUGAUUUUCUCAGAUGUCUUCUUCAGUCCUGAAGAUUUUAUUUGUUCACUCAGCUGGAUUGCUCCUAGCAGUGCAACAUUGGAAAUUCGAGCUGUGCCAUACUGUAUAGAAAAAACAGGUCAGCGUGAAACCAGUUCCAAGCCCAACCUCACACAAGGCAACCAGACAAGGCUGAAGUGCUGCCACGUACUGCAGACAGCCAGAAGACUUUGCAGAGCCAAAGGAAAGCCCUAUUUACAGGCUAGAGAACAGUGGAGCAGAAAAAAGGAGUUAGCAAAAAGGCAUUUGAGAAUUUAUUUCAAAUGCAUGUUCAGUUAUUAUCCUUCCAUCAAAGGAUCUCAAAAUGCCUUUAAACUGCUGGCAACUGCCCCAGAAGUUACCUUUGCUGUAGGCAUUAUUAAGCCCUUGAAAAGCCAAGAUGUAAGCGGUGGGUGACUUUUCACUCAAGGUUAUUCUGCAAGUCAGGAGCAGAGACAGACAGACUGUUCUAUACGUGCUACGUGCUUUGGAGAAGCAUUUGGCUGCUGCAGUAGUGCAUGUGGGAGGAGAGAGAGGAAGGACAUCUGUGAACUUCAUCACAAGAAAGGUUCCCAGCAUCAUGGGACUCCAGGCAAUGCAAAACAAUUUCCUAAUCCUGCACAAAAAUACUGAAUCACAAAGUUAUCUUUCAUUAACGUAAUGUUAUUCCCUUUCAUGUGUUCACCCCUUGUACCAUUCAUUCUGAUUUGUCUGAGUUUAGAUACAAUUUUUUAAUUGACUUUUUUCUCUUGUAUUUGUCUUCCAAAUGUGACUGAGCAUGUCUGUGCCGUG
rnacentral:lncRNA from 1 species